UACGAAGGGGGCUAGCGUUGCUCGGAAUCACUGGGCGUAAAGGGUGCGUAGGCGGGUCUUUAAGUCAGGGGUGAAAUCCUGGAGCUCAACUCCAGAACUGCCUUUGAUACUGAGGAUCUUGAGUUCGGGAGAGGUGAGUGGAACUGCGAGUGUAGAGGUGAAAUUCGUAGAUAUUCGCAAAGAACACCAGUGGCGAAAGGCGGCUCACUGGCCCGAUACUGACGCUGAGGCACGAAAAGCGUGGGGGAGCAAACAGGG
rnacentral:rRNA from 1 species